rnacentral:rRNA from 1 species
GAUGAACGCUGACAGAAUGCUUAACACAUGCAAGUCUUUGGCGAAGCUGUGCUUGCACAGCCUAGCCAAGGCGGACGGGUGAGUAACGCGUAAGGAACUUGCCCUGCAGUCAGGGAUAACAGACGGGAACGACUGAUAAGACCUGGUAAAGUCAGGCGGACUCAUGUCCAGCCUGAUGAAAAGAGAUGCUGCAGGAGAGCCUUGCGUCCUAUUAGCUUGUUGGUGGGGUAACGGCCCACCAAGGCGAUGAUAGGUAGCCGGCCUGAGAGGGUGGACGGCCACCAGGGGACUGAGAUACGGCCCUUACUCCUACGGGAGGCAGCAGUGGGGAAUAUUGGACAAUGGGGGCAACCCUGAUCCAGCAAUUCUGUGUGCACGAUGAAGGUUUUCGGAUUGUAAAGUGCUUUCAGCAGGGAAGAAAAAAAUGACGGUACCUGCAGAAGAAGCGACGGCUAAAUACGUG